rnacentral:rRNA from 1 species
UACGGAGGGGGCUAGCGUUGUUCGGAAUUACUGGGCGUAAAGGGCGCGUAGGCGGCGCGAUAAGUUGGGCGUGAAAGGCCCGGGCUCAACCCGGGGACUGCGCUUGAUACUGUCGCGCUGUAAGUCCGGGAGAGGAUGGCGGAAUUCCCAGUGUAGAGGUGAAAUUCGUAGAUAUUGGGAAGAACACCGGUGGCGAAGGCGGCCAUCUGGACCGGCACUGACGCUGAGGCGCGAAGGUCAGGGGAGCAAACGGG